rnacentral:rRNA from 1 species
AUUGAACGCUGGCGGCAGGCCUAACAUUUGCAAGUCGAGCGGUAGCACAGAGAGCUUGCUCUCGGGUGACGAGCGGCGGACGGGUGAGUAAUGUCUGGGAAACUGCCUGAUGGAGGGGGAUAACUACUGGAAACGGUAGCUAAUACCGCAUAACGUCGCAAGACCAAAGUGGGGGACCUUCGGGCCUCAUGCCAUCAGAUGUGCCCAGAUGGGAUUAGCUAGUAGGUGGGGUAACGGCUCACCUAGGCGACGAUCCCUAGCUGGUCUGAGAGGAUGACCAGCCACACUGGAACUGAGACACGGUCCAGACUCCUACGGGAGGCAGCAGUGGGGAAUAUUGCACAAUGGGCGCAAGCCUGAUGCAGCCAUGCCGCGUGUGUGAAGAAGGCCUUCGGGUUGUAAAGCACUUUCAGCGGGGAGGAAGGCGGUGAGGUUAAUAACCUCAUCGAUUGACGUUACCCGCAGAAGAAGCACCGGCUAACUCCGUGCCAGCCGCCGCCGUAAUAC